rnacentral:rRNA from 1 species
UACGAAGGGGGCUAGCGUUGCUCGGAAUCACUGGGCGUAAAGCGCACGUAGGCGGCUUUCUAAGUCAGGGGUGAAAACCUGGAGCUCAACUCCAGAACUGCCUUUGAUACUGGAGAGCUAGAGUCCGGAAGAGGUGAGUGGAACUGCGAGUGUAGAGGUGAAAUUCGUAGAUAUUCGCAAGAACACCAGUGGCGAAGGCGGCUCACUGGUCCGGUACUGACGCUGAGGUGCGAAAGCGUGGGGAGCAAACAGG